rnacentral:lncRNA from 1 species
AAUAUACCAAUUAUAGAGUUAAACGAGAAGAAUAACAGUGCAACUCCAUGCAAUACCAACAAUGAUGUUGCUGACUAUCCAGCAGUUGAGGAAAAACCUGAAGAACCAGCGAUUGAGAAAAAACCUGAAGAACCAAUGGCUAAGGAGAAACUUGAAGAACCAAUUGUUGAGGAUAAACCUGAAAAAUCAGUGAUAGAGGAGAAAUCUGAAAAACUAGCAACUGAAGAAACACUUGGAGAGCAAGCAGGGG